CACGGUUCUCCCUGUCUUAAGCUUUUUAAAAGGACCAGUGAAGGCAUAACCAGAAAUCAUUGAAGCUACUUAUAAUUAUAUCUCUUUGAAUUUCAUCUUUUGCCUAUCCCCCCCCCCCCCCCCCUCUCCUCUCACCUCUGUUGAUAACAGGUAAAGAAGUUGUUAAGCAUGGGGAACGGGGAAUCAACUUUUGAUGAUCAUCAAUAUGAUUUUCAGCAACAAUCCCCUUCUUACUCGGAAAGAUCGAUUGACGAUAACUAUCAACCUAGGCAGCAUCCGGCUUAUAUAGCUGAUAAUUUCAACUCGAUAGACGAUAACUAUCAACCUAGGCAGCAUCCGGCUUAUAUAGCUGAUAAUUUCAACUCGUUGGAUCAGGUUAUUUCUUCCCUGAGAGAAGCUGGUCUUGAAUCAUCCAAUCUAAUACUUGGUAUUGAUUUCACCAAGAGUAAUGAGUGGACAGGUAGGCAUUCAUUUCACCGGAAAAGCCUCCAUGCAAUCGGUAGCACACUGAAUCCCUAUGAGCAAGCCAUCUCUAUCAUUGGCCGUACUCUGUCUCCUUUUGAUGAAGAUAACUUGAUACCUUGUUUUGGAUUUGGCGAUGCAUCAACACAUGAUAAGCAUGUAUUCAGCUUUUAUCCUGAUAAUCGACCUUGUAAUGGUCUUGAGGAAGCUCUUACACGAUACAGAGAGAUUGUUCCACACUUGAAGUUGUCAGGUCCAACUUCAUUUGCUCCAAUCAUUGAUGCAGCGAUUGACAUUGUGGAGAAAAGUGGUGGACAGUAUCAUGUUCUCGUUGUUAUUGCAGAUGGACAGGUUACCCGGGGUCCUGAUACUCCUCCAGGAAGGUUCAGUCCUCAAGAACAUGCAACUGUAAACUCCAUAGUUGCUGCUAGUAAGUAUCCUAUCUCAAUUAUAUUGGUUGGAGUGGGGGAUGGACCGUGGGAUGCUAUGCAGCAAUUUGAUGAUAACAUUCCUCAACGCGCGUUUGACAACUUUCAGUUUGUGAACUUCACAAAAAUAAUGUCAGACAACACCGAAGCAUCAAAGAAAGAAACAGCCUUUGCACUUGCUGCCCUCAUGGAAAUUCCACUUCAGUACAGAGCCACACAAACUCUUCAGCGUGCAAACUACAAUUCAGUUGGUGGUCCACACACAAGGCUACUUCCACCUCCUCGUGAAGUGAUUGAUCAUGAUAAUGCAGUCAAAUCAAUCCCGCACAUGACAAACUUCAAACCAGUUCAACCAACCGCUCCAACAGCUUCAGUGGAACCGGUCUGCCCCAUUUGCUUGGCAAACCCGAAAGACCUGGCUUUCGGAUGCGGUCAUAUGACUUGCAGGGAUUGUGGAGCAAGCAUUUCAGCCUGCCCUCUAUGUCGACAGCCCAUAACAACACGUCUGAGAUUGUUUACUUGAGCCAAACAAGACUCCCUGCGCUCUGUUUACUCCAGAGAGAAUGGCAAAGCUUCCACGACAGGGUGAGCCUAGUCUUUUGAUUGGGCUUGAAUUGGAAAGGCGUAGUAUUAAAGAACUUGGAUGGUAGCUGUAGAAGUAGAACAGCCUCUAGGCCCUAAACAAAAGAUGAAGAACAAGGAGAGCUAAGAAGAUGUCCCUUGAGGAUUGACCUAUACAAACACAUCGGGCGUUUGCCUUUCUCGCAGAAGAACAAUCAUUUAUCAUUCAUGGAAUCUGAACUUUACUACAAUAUUGUAAUUUUGGAGCAAAUAAUUUGUUUGCAGAUUUGAAAUAAACCCAUCCUAGUUUGUAUGA